AGGCUUGUAGUAUAAUGGGUAAAACAUGCGCUUGAUAAGCGCAAGAAUAACGGUUCAAUUCUGUUCAGGCCUA
rnacentral:tRNA from 1 species